rnacentral:rRNA from 1 species
GAACAUUUGGUGUAGCGGUGAAAUGCAUAGAUAUCACAUAGAACACCGAUCGCGAAGGCAGGUAACCAACAACGUACUGACGCUGAUGGACGAAAGCGUGGGUAGCGAACGGGAUUAGAUACCCCGGUAGUCCACGCCGUAAACGAUGGAUACUAGCUGUCGGGUCUUCGGACUCGGCGGCCAAGCGAAAGUGAUAAGUAUCCCACCUGGGGAGUACGUUCGCAAGAAUGAAACUCAAAGGAAUUGACGGGGGCCCGCACAAGCGGUGGAGCAUGUGGUUUAAUUCGAUGAUACGCGAGGAACCUUACCAGGGCUUAAAUGUAACGGGACAGGCUUAGAGAUAGGCUUUUCUUCGGACUCGUUACAAGGUGCUGCAUGGUUGUCGUCAGCUCGUGCCGUGAGGUGUCAGGUUAAGUCCUAUAACGAGCGCAACCCCUACCGUUAGUUGCCAGCGAUUCAAGUCGGGGACUCUAACGGGACUGCCGGUGCAAACCGUGAGGAAGGUGGGGACGACGUCAAAUCAUCACGGCCCUUACGUCCUGGGCCACACACGUGCUACAAUGGCCGGUACAGAGGGAAGCCACCCCGUAAGGGGGCGCGGAUCUACAAAGCCGGUCACAGUUCGGAUCGGGGUCUGCAACUCGACCCCGUGAAGCUGGAAUCGCUAGUAAUCGGAUAUCAGCCAUGAUCCGGUGAAUACGUUCCCGGGCCUUGUACACACCGCCCGUCAAGCCAUGGAAGCCGGGAGUGCCUGAAGUCCGUCACCGCGAGGAGCGGCCUAGGGCAAAAUCGGUAAUAGG